rnacentral:rRNA from 1 species
CAGCAGCCGCGGUAAUACGAGGGGGGCAAGCGUUGUUCGGGAUUAUUGGGCGUAAAGGGUGCGUAGGCGGCUUGACAAGUCUUGUGUGAAAUCUAUGGGCUCAACCCAUAGUCUGCACGGGAAACUGUCGGGCUUGAGAAUGGGAGAGGUGAGUGGAAUUUCCGGUGUAGCGGUGAAAUGCGUAGAUAUCGGAAGGAACACCUGUGGCGAAAGCGGCUCACUGGACCAUUUCUGACGCUGAUGCACGAAAGCUAGGGGAGCAAACAGGAUUAGAUACCCGAGUAGUCCCUGUCUCUUAUAC